AUUGAACGCUGGCGGCAGGCUUAACACAUGCAAGUCGAGCGAGCGGCGGACGGGUGAGUAAUGUCUGGGAAACUGCCUGAUGGAGGGGGAUAACUACUGGAAACGGUAGCUAAUACCGCAUACCAUCAGAUGUGCCCAGAUGGGAUUAGCUAGUAGGUGGGGUAAUGGCUCACCUAGGCGACGAUCCCUAUCUGGUCUGAGAGGAUGACCAGCCACACUGGAACUGAGACACGGUCCAGACUCCUAAGGGAAGAAGAAUGGGGGAAAAUUGCACAAUGGGCGAAAGCCUGAUGCAGACAUGCCGCGUGUGUGAAGAAGGCAUUCGGGUUGUAAAGCACUUUCAGCGAGGAGGCGUUACUCGCAGAAGAAGCAACUGCUAACUCCGUGCCAGCAGCCGCGGUAAUAC
rnacentral:rRNA from 1 species